GGAAGAGAGGUUAGAGCUAACUAAAUACACGCAUUAGGUUCCGAUACUAUCCAAAGUAUAUUAUUUUUGCAAAGUUUGUGAUUAGAAUACUAACGGAUAUACAAGUCACAUUUCUUGGAAUGUGCAGCCUCUCAAGUAACUUAAACGAAUACAACUCUACCUGAUAACUUAUUAGUUUUGAAAGAGAAGAAGGGUAAAUAUAUAUAGCCCUAUUUAGAUGUGCUAAAGCUAAAGUUUAUCCCUACCUAAAGUUUAACCGGUUAAAGUUAGG
rnacentral:lncRNA from 1 species